GUCUCUGGGCAUACCGCCCUGAACCCGCCGGAUCUCCUUUGAUCUCAGAAGCUAAGCAGGGUCGGGCCUGGUUAGUACUUAGAUGGGAGAUUUGAAGGUAAUUUUUUUUCUCUUAUCUG
rnacentral:rRNA from 1 species